GACGAACGCUGGCGGCAUGCCUAACACAUGCAAGUCGAACGGGAACGUCGGGUCUAGUGGGGGAGGGGGACGUGCGACGGGGUGAGCUACACGUGGGUUCGGUGUAACUCCCCGAAAGAGAUGCUAAGACAGGAUGGUGUCAUAGCACCAAAGACUUCUCGCCAUUGGGUGGGGGCGCGUUGGAUUAGCUGGUUGGUAGGGUAAAAGCAUAGCAAUGCGACGAUGCAUAGCUGGUCGGAGAGGAUGACCAGCUACACUGGGACUGAGACACGGCCCAGACUCGUACGGGAGGCAGCAGUGUGGAAUAUUGUGCGAGGGGCGCAAGUCCGAUCCAGCAAUGUCGCGUGAGUGAGGAAUGCCGUAGUGUUGUAAAGUCCUCUUUCACGGGAUGUGAAUGACAGUAACGGGUAAAUAAGCACCGGCUAACUCCGUG
rnacentral:rRNA from 1 species